rnacentral:rRNA from 1 species
UGGGGAAUAUUGGACAAUGGGCGAAAGCCUGAUCCAGCCAUGCCGCGUGUGUGAAGAAGGUCUUCGGAUUGUGAAGCACUUUAAUGAGGGAGGAUUAGGAUGCGUUGAAUAGACGUGUCUGAGGACGUUACCUCAAGAAUAAGCACCGGCUAACUCUGUGCCAGCAGCCGCGGUAAUACAGAGGGUGCGAGCGUUAAUCGGAAUUAUUGGGCGUAAAGGGAGCGUAGGUGGUUUGUUAAGUUGGAUGUGAAAGCCCCGGGCUCAACCUGGGAACUGCAUCCAAAACUGGCAAGCUAGAGUACGGUAGAGGGUGGUGGAAUUUCCUGUGUAGCGGUGAAAUGCGUAGAUAUAGGAGGAACACCGGUGGCGAAGGCGCCGCUCUGGGCCGAAACUGACGCUGAGGAGCGAAAGCAUGGGUAGCAAACAGGAUUAGAUACCCCCGUAGUCCCUGAGCGGGCUGGCAAGGCGCAU